CCGAGUUUACAACUCCCAAACCCCUGUGAACAUACCACUUGUUGCCUCGGCGGAUCAGCCCGCUCCCCGGUAAAACGGGACGGCCCGCCAGAGGACCCCUAAACUCUGUUUCUAUAUGUAACUUCUGAGUAAAACCAUAAAUAAAUCA
rnacentral:misc_RNA from 1 species